AUGAUACGUUUGCUACGAUCAAAUGACAAUGGCUGGUACAUAAGUGAGCACAGACCAUCCCACAACCAUGUGUUGACAGAUAAAUGUGGUGAAAAGGUGUACUGGCCUUCACAUAAACAUAUAGAUAUGUAUACAAGAGACAUUGUCAAACAGCUUAGGGAGAACAACAUCAGCAUUGGAAAAGUUUACAACAUAAUCGGUAGUUUCUUCGGAUCAAUGAAUAAUGUGCCUUUCACCAAAAGGGCUCUCAGGGGUCUAUGUGGUGAAAUCAGCCGCGACCAGGCAGAUGAUGAUGUCCGGAAAACAAUGGAUGUAUUUGCAGAAUUGGGUUCAAAGGACUCUGGUUUGUACUACAGGGUACAAUCAAACAGUGAUAGCCGGAUACGGAAUAUGAUGUGGUCAACUGGUGCAAGCAGAAUGCAGUACCACUAUUUUGGAGAUGCAAUAACAUUUGACACAACAUACCGUACAAACCUGUAUGAUAUGCCAUUUGGGCUGUUUGUUGGAGUUAACAACCAUUUUCAGAGCGUUAUCUUUGGUGGCGUGCUUGUUAGGGAUGAGACAGCUGAAACUUUCGAGUGGGUGUUCAGUGAAUUCAUACGCAUGAUGGGCGGCAAGCAUCCUCAAACCAUUCUUACAGGUAAUAAUCUGAUAUCCGAAAAACAUGUCUAUCUGCAUAACUUGAAACACAUAGACAUCCGCAUGCAUUGUUCAGAAGUAAAUAUACAAAAUGAUCCAUGA
rnacentral:rRNA from 1 species